UUUUUUUUUUUUUUUUGGUAUCUCCCUCAUCCCUCUUUUCUUAAAUAAAACUCACCAUAUUAGAAAACAUAAAAAAGGUUCAAUACCUUGAUUAGAAUGCCAAUUUUAUAUCAGGAGGUAGGGCAAGAAAUGAACAAACCGUUGACAAAACAAUCGAUGAAAUUAUGAUUGGCAAGGUCAAGUGUUCAUCAUCACAAUGAUGUCUGAACUGAAAUGUGAAAGGUAGAAAGUCUAACUGCCUUUUAAUUAGCAGUCAGAAACAUGAUUUCCAGAAUAUAUUUUACUAGAAACUAAAUACAAGAUGAAAACACUGUAAACAUGUUUUUAACAUCAACCUAGCAAAUGCACAUCUGCUGUAAACUAAAUAAAAAUAAGAAAAAGUCUUUGAUAGAAGAACACAAGAAUACAUACCAAGGCCAAUGUCUUCAUCGGCGGGAGAACAACUUUUUCCAAAUUCCCAAAUUUCCCAAACAUCUUUGCCAGUUCACCAUCAGUAGAACCGUAUGGCAAGUUCUUCACCAGUAUAACAUGGUUGCUUCUUUUAACACCAUCAGUUUUCCCAGCAGCAAAAUUCUCUAAGGAUUCUACAUUUAUACCAGCAUUUGUAAGAGACUUUUUGGUCUCUGCAAUCACUUGAGUUUCUCCCAAAGCAAUCCGUACAGCGAGAUCAUCAGCUUCUCGGUCAAGCAAAUCACCUUUGCUCACACCAUACUUCCGAGCUAUGUUCUCAAUGACCUAUUUAAUAUGAUGUAAAAAUUAGAAAUGAAGCAUCAUCAAACAAAAAUUAGAAAGUAACUCAAUAAAGCAUGGCAGUAAAAGUUGAUGCUAUUCCUACCAGUGUCAAAACAAGACAAAAACAAACAAUCAAGGUUUUACAUGUGCUAGAGAAAAGUUUUAAAAAUGAUGAGAAGUAUGGAGGGUGGUUGAACAAUGUCAAAACCAAAACAUGUUCAUAUACCAUCUCUUUCUGGAAAAUGUGUGCAUAUUACUAUAGUGUCAGUUUGAAACUGUGUUUACCAUACCGUAUCAGGGUGCACAAACAAACUGUUCCAUGCCCUUGUAUCGCCACUAGCUUCAGAUGCUUUCCUCUUAUCCUCCCUUUGUUUCUUGAGAGGUUUUGAAGCUUGGCUUGCUGAAUCAUCAGCCCUAUAGGGUAAGCAAUGCCAAAUUCAACCGCAGAGACAAAACCCAAUAAAAGAGUAGUCACAAUAAAAUUCCCUAAAGUGACGUUGAGAUAACCGGGCAAUUUAGGAUAACUACUUAUCCUAGCUUCUCAGUUGGAUUCUUUUGUUUUGCUGGCAUGACAUGCAACAAUCUUCCUUGGAACCAUCUAAUGCUUCUAAUGCCCUUCACCAAAAGAGAGGAAAGACAAAUCAACAAUGUUUUUUUUAUUAAGAAAACAUACGUGAAUUAGCAAAACAGAACGUCAUGCCCUCGCUCAAACACCAUAACCAAUGUAAGAGACUUGAAUGUAAAAAAAUUAACCUAGAUAAACCGGCAAUUGAAACAGUUUUUAAGCAAAAUUCUACUUCUUUUGAAUUUCUUAGGGCUCAAAACUUGGAAAAAGUUGGGCCUUGGCUAUAUCAAGGCAUGGUAGGAAACUUGAAGAAGUGCAAGUUUUACAGUUUUACAUAGCAUGAUACUUGUCAUGGAUGAAAUCAUUAAGUUAUUGCACCAUGUGAGCUUUGGAGCAAAAAAAGAGUACCUUUCUGCACAUUAGGAAGCUUGUAAAGAACAUAAGCGAACCCCUUCGACCGAUUGGUCUCUUUAUCAAUAACAAGAUGGACCUGUGCAUCUCCAAAUUUGCUAAAAGCCUCUUCCAGCUCCUCCUCAGUUGCUGUAAAUGGAAGAUUACGAACAAAAAGACGACCACUCUCAAACGCUUCUUCAUUCUCAUCUUUCGAAGUGGAUGACGGAUUGCACUCGUCAAUUACUUGGCCAUUAGCAUCCUCAGAAUGCCCCUUCUCUCCAUCCUCUUCUUCAUGAACUUUAAUUUGCUCCUUUUCAUUGACUUUUCAAAACUCUUUCUCCUCCUCCUCCUCCUCAUUAUCAUCUUCUUCACUGCUUUCGGAAUCCGACCAUUCAGUCUUCACUCUGCUCUUGAGUAAUCCAUAUCCGAAACAACAUCGUCCUUUGCUACAUUGCGUUUAUCAUUCUUCUUAGCACCUUUCUCUUCUUCCUCCAUAUCCACCAGAACUGAUUUCUGCUCACUUUCCUUCUUGGUUUUUCCAAUUUUCUCAGCUCCUGAUUUCUCCUCACUUUCCUUUUUGUUUUUCCCAAUUUUCUCAGCCACGGGAGCCACCACCGCGCUGUUCGCCCACAAUUUCGACUUUGCCCUCGGCUGCAUCACCUCCAAAAACUCGUGAAGCUUAACAUCACCACUCUCAUCUUCCACCUCAAGACUCCCGCCCCCGCCCCCGCGCUCCUCCUUCUUCCUCUUCUCCUCGCCUCCACCCCCUUCCCCCUCCUUCUUCUUCGAAUGCCGGCUCCACGGCCGGGGAAUCUCCGGAUCCCCAACCUUCCUCGCAAUCUCACAGCUAAUCCUACACUUAUCUAAAAACGACCUGUCGUAGUAGUAUUUCGUGGCCUCCUGAGCUUCCCUCUCCGUCCGGAACCCGAUGAACGCGAACUGCCGGCUCUUCCCCUCCCUCCUUCGUCCGCAUCAGCUUCGCGUCCGUAAUCUCUCCUUUCGCGGAGAAAAACUCCCGGAGUCGGUCCUCCUUCACAUGCUUGGGCAAAUUCUUGACGCAAAUCCUCGACCUGAAAAUUGAACAACCUUGCGGUGCGUUAGAAACCGCCGAAGUGAAAUUUUCCCGGGAACCAAACAGAAAAUAAACUGGAGCUCACAUUUUCAAUACGAAGUUUGAAUUAUAGAGCUAACAAUGAGAUUCUUGAGUCGUAUUUUUGGAAGGAAUUCUGGAAAUCGAGUGUGUUGAGAGAGCAGGGUUUUUGGUCGAAAAUUAGUUUUUAUUGUUGUAUUGCAAAAGCAACGUAAAUAAAACAUUUUCUUUUCUUUUACAUGGGCUUUCGGUAUUGGGUUUUAUACAAAACUAUAUUGACGUCAUUUUCCGAACCUCCCUGUAGCUAGUAGGGCUGGGUAUAAAAAUCGUUGAACCAAAAGAAACCAAACCAAAUGGUGUCUAAAAUAAAAAUGAGUAUGGUUUUCUUCCCUCGUAUUUAUAUCUUGUUCUCUCUUCUCUUUCCACACAUUAUUUUUUGUUUUACUGUCUCUAUAAAAAAAAUUAAUAUAAAAUGUUGACUUGACUAAACCGUAACUGCUCAAGUAUGAGAAGAAAGAGAUUAGGAGGGAAGAUAAUCGUCCUCCAAAUAAAGGGCAGUGUUGUCUACAACCUUAUUUUUAUUUGAGAAAACACAAAUAUACUUAAGGGGUAUGAAUGAGAGGUUAAUGUGGUGUAAGCUUAAUCUUUGGGGUUAAAUUUGUCCGGUAAAAAUUCAUGAAUGAGGAUCCUCUUUGGAUUCUCUUUGUGAGGAUCCCGAUAAUCCUUCAAUUAUAUCCAUUCAUCGUACAUUGUGCGGUUAAUUUUCAUCAAAUACUAUAUAUAUUUAAUUUUAAAUAAAAAUAUUUACAAUUAUUUUUGAACUCACGAUAUAUGAUAAACGAAUGUGAUUGAAAGAUCUCCGGAAUCCUCAUAAAGAGGAUCCGAAGAGGAUCCGAUCCUCAUUCAAAAUUCAUGAUGACUUCAACGAAACAGAGUUUUAUGAAACUAACUGAAACCUCAAGGAUGUCAGUGUUAUUUCUAAAACCUUCGGGGGGUUUUCCGUAAAUUGCACUGAAGAAAAAAGGGUUCAGAAAACUCCCACCGUGUGUGCCAACUCCCCAAACGUCUGCUCUGCGGAGGCUCGGCAGUGCCGGUAAAUAAAAUCAGUUCGUGUUGACGAUGGAAGGGAUAUUAGGGCAGAACAGGGUUGACGAUGUGAGCUGGCUCUGCUCGCUCUCUGAGUCCGAACUUGUAAGUAUUAUUUACAUACUUAAUUUCUCGAUUUAUUAUUUUUUUGGUAAAUUAAAGUUAUGAAUUCGUUUGUUAAUUUUCAUUGUUCAUAUCAAAUUGUACAUAGAAAAGUAGACAAGUUGACGUUAAAGAUUAGAGCUUUAUGGUUAAUGGGGUCGAAAAAUUGGAAUUAAACACACAAUUUUAUGGCAGGACAUGUUGAUUAGCAUAAAAAGGAUUGUUCUUCAUCGUGCAAGGAUGAUUGGGUGCGAUGAACUUGCUCAAAAGUUUGAUCUCAAGGUGCUUCGAGCUCUUGGUAUGUCCGAUAGGCGGUAGCUUUAUCUGUUUCGAUGUUUUUUGUUUUGCUUGGUUGUCGAAUUUCGAAUUGAGCUCUUGAUUCGAGCAAUAAAGAAAGUAAAAUACCUCAUUGAUUGCAUUGUGCAUAAAGUUCGAAACUUUGUGUUCCAACUUUUGAUUGCGUGUUAAGGGUUUGGUAUAUGAGUGAUACGGUUAAAAAUUGUGAUUAGCAUCUGCAUCAGAAGCCGAAGCUUAUGAUGAGCGUUCUUAUAUGAUCCUUGGAUGGAUGGAUUGAGGCUGGGUUAUGUUUUCAACAAUGAAAGCCAAAAGUUGAUGCUUUAACUGACAAUUCUGUUUACUUAUGAGGGGAUUUGUGGUAUUGACAAUAAGGGUAUCGGAUUGAGGGGUAGAACUUUUGCUCGUCUUUUCUGCAGUAGUUGUCACUUAAAUUAUAGCUCACUGGUUUAUUAUGGAUUUCCAAUUUCAAUAGUGAGAAAUGUGUUUUCUGUUAAUUGGUGACAUUCUUUGCUGGAAACUAUGUGUGGCUUGUUACUGCGUUCCUGAGAAUAAUGUGAGAGGCAAAAUAAGCUAUUUAUACUUGUUUCUCAACUUCGUAAUUAAAGUAAACCCUGGUGGUUUCUCCUCAGGUUUUUCACUUGGAAAAGAUCUGUAGAUUAUAUAUUGUAAUUGCCUUGCACGGAGGCUGGACUCAAGAAAAGACACAGUAAACAAGUAUGUUGGCCUCAGCUUAAGAAAGAAGAAAAGGGCUACUUGUGCCUUUUCUUUUAACAACCAAGUGAAGAUCAAAUGAAAUCCAAGCUCAAAUCUGCGGCUUUUUUCAUAUCAAUAAACAAGUGCACAAUAAGGGGCUUGACUUUCAUACAGUUCAGAAUAUACUUGAGAAUAAUUUUCUAGGGCUGUCAAUUAGGCUUGACUUUCAUACAGUUUCAUGUAGUUGUGGCUGCUAGCUUUAUUUUCUUGGACUUGUGCUUUGGAUGUGCAACUCGGAUUUGCCUUUCCUUCUUUUCGAAUAAUCCUCCUUAUGAUCUUUUUCUGUUUUUGAAAUACUGAAAUUAGCAGAAGGAAAGAGCAAAUUCUUGCUUUAUUUGGUGUGGCUUUGCUUGUUUUGUUUGGGAAGGUUUGGUUGCAUACCUCCAUUACAUAUCACAUUCGGGAUAGUGUUUGGUUUGCAUGGGUGUUUCUGGUUUGGGAUUUGAUCAGGCCUCAUUAUCCUGAAACCAAUAUCCCUCCUACAUGUUUUGGAUGCCUUUUAAUGUUACCUCUUGGUAAAGAUCAAGCUUCAAGCUACUAGAUAACUAGUAAUAGAACUUUUUGUAUUUGAGUUUUUAUAUUUAGAAGCGCACAAUUUUGUGACUGUAUUCAUUUCAUCACUGAGGAUUUGUGCAGCAUUUGUUCUGAUGGAAUGCGUCAAAGAUAAGGUAAAGGACUUGGCACCGCCAGAAUCUGCUGCAUUUAUGGGAAGUUGCAAUCUAUUAAAACAUAACCUUGGUGAUAUUAUGAGUCUUGAAGAGAUAAUGGCCUGUAUUGGUAUUGAUUCGAGAAAGGGUCCAAUAAAAAGGUUAGUUCAGACAACAAGGGUCAAUAUUGCUUCUUUUUUGGUAACAAUAUGAUGUUUGUGAGUUGUAAUAUGUGUAUGUGUGUGUAUAUGCAAAUGACUAAAAGCAUAUGUAAACGUACAUGGACAUGUUUAUGUGGGUGAGAAUGGCUGAUCGCUUUUUUUUCUUAGACUUUUUAUUCACUUGUGGUUCUGUUUUUUUUUCAUGCCUUUGGUAUUAUUGUAUGUCUAGUAAUGCAGACAACAAUAUGCCGCAGGAAACACUAUUGAGUCUUGGUUCUGUGCUGGUAGUAUUUAUAUGCUGUUGAUACUGAUUUAUACUUACUUUCUCAAGUUUGUGGAACCACGGGAAUUCUCAUAAAGUUUAUCAUAUGAAAUUUUUUUGAGGGUCGAUUUUUACCAAGUUUCAGAAUGCAUGUGGUGGCUCCAACGUUUAAUACUCUUUUCAAACUGAAUUGAUAUUGUUUUUUAGCUGGCAAUGAGUGGUGAAACAGGACGCCAAAUUUCCCCCCAUGGAUAACCUUGGUGUUUCAUAAUUUCCUUUUGAUGUCCCCUCUCUCCCAAACCCCAUCAUCCUUUAAAUACUAAUCCUUACCGGAUUCAGCAUAAGCAUGAGCAUGAUGUUGGUUUUUUUUUUUACCGGAAGUUUUUUACCUGCCAAAAAGAUUUGCAAUGGUUUUGAAAGGUCAAUCAUGUAUUGUACAUAUGCAUCAGGUGUUAAUUUUAUGCUUUUAGCUCCCUACCACUAGUUGAUUAACUUCAGUUACAUUUUUCUCUGUACCAGAAGACCGCACAAAGAAACUACACGAAAUCAAAAGAAACAGAAAACUGAAGCCAGUAAAUUAUGAGAUCAGGAAUCGCAGAGGCAGAGAAGAAUAGUCACGUGUUUAUAACACGAGUGAGUUUCCAGUGCCCCACUUUCGGAAACAGGUUCUAAAUGUGUAGUUGGACUCGAACAGAUCAUACAGGAGCGGAAUUCAUCUCUUUUUGUUCUAUUUUAUAUGUGUAUGAAGGCCAAGGUCUAAAUUACUUGAAAUUUUGUACUGAUCUUACAUAAUUUUGGAAAUAUCAAAGCAAGGCUUCUUAUAACUUUAGUCCUGUUGCACUUGCCAUUUAAUUUUUUCAAGAAUAGUUAUUAUUUAUUGAACUCGAGAUAAAUUCUAAUGUUUUAUUAAGUCUCUUAAUGCGAUCCUAUACUCUUAUCCCUCCCCUUUUUAGGUAUGUCUGGUGUGUCUGCGUGCGUGUGUUGGAGAGGCUUUUUGUGCUGCAAGCGCGCGUAUGGACCAAUGAACUGAAACCCCAUGAGGGAACUCAUGGUUUGUCUCUACCAUCGAUAAUGGAAGUUGAGGGAGAGAUUCCCCCUUGUAACUGUUGUAAUGUCCCUCUAUUUCUAUCUCUAUCUCUAUCUCUCUCAUCACGUCAUCAAUCUGAAUCAGUAAAGGGGUCAUUGGCUCUUAUCCCUCCUUUUAUGUAUGGUGGGUGGGGGUGUGUGUGUGUGUGAGAGAGAGAGAGAGAGAGAGAGAGAGGGAGGGAGGGCAUGUUAGUCCAUUCCAGUUAACCUUUUCUGCAUGGCUUGAUGACUUUAAACCCCAUGAUGGAGCUUGGCUCAUUGGUAACCCUAGGGGGACAAAAGAAGGGAGGUGAUGUUGAAGGCAAUAACUUAAUAAAUCAAACAGCAUUUUGAAUUUGUGUUAAGUCAUUUCUCCACUCUAUCUUGUUAUGCUGGUGUGACGAGAGCAUGAUUUUUUGUUGGCCAUGCUUUGCUUUCUUUGUUUGUUUGUUCUAGGCACCGCAUGGCAAGAAAGGGUCUUUGGGCCCCCCAUGUAGCCAAAUUUUAUUUCCAAUCUUUUCUCAAAAUCCCGUUUGCCUCCCCAUUCAAGUUCUAAGCAUGCAUCAAACAGACAAUGUAAUUAAACAACAUUAUGUAGGUGAAUGUUUUCGUCUCUUCAUUCAAGUUUGAAUCUCCGCACAUGUAGUUUGAACAAGAUUAGCGGAUUUAUCUCUUAGUAUAUAUUUGCCAUCUUCAUUUAUUCAUAUUUAAACCUCCGCACCUGUAGUAUGACCAAAAUUAGCGAAGUUAUCUCUUAGUAUAUUAUUCCCAAAACAUUUUCUAAUUAAAUAUGCGUAUAUACUUUGCUUCAAAUACUGGAUCAUCAUCCAUGGAGAGCCUUAAUUGUGGAAUUUCUUUUUGGAAGCAGAAUAGCUAGGUCCACUGAGCAAACGGAAAUUUCUCCAAAAGUCAAACUCAUCAUGCCAUGACCAAGAUAUCUCCCAUGCUUGGUUUUCUAACCUCCAAUGUAAGAGCAUAAUAUUAAAGUUGUAGUUCAUAAAGUAUGAUUAAGACCAAAUUAAUGAUUAAAGAUAUUCAUACUUGUCCCCCUCACGACCCAAAUUAUUUAUUUUUCUCUUUCAAAUGCUCUAGCCACGUAUCGGCUUAUUGCAUCCACUUGCACGUGCACCGUACAAUCCUUUGAAUCUAUACACUUAUACGGGAGCGCUUAACCGCUAACGUUUUUCAAUGUUUAAGAUAUUUACUAAGUGACCAUGCUAAUAGAAGAAAAUUAGUAUAAAACUGUCAUAUCAUGUCAUCAAAUUAACCUAGUUAUCAAACUGCCCCAUAAUAAUUAUAUAUAAUGCUGAUAUAGUCAAAUGGGAAAGUUUCUCUUUGCCAAGGAGAAGAUACGGAUUUGAUUCCCGCUAAUCCGCUCAGGAUAAUGGAUACGUAUGUUAAAUUUUGUUUUUUAUUUGAUAGAUGAAGCAUUAAGGGUUAUGCAACUGCUAACAUAGGUCUGCUUCUGGCCUAGAUCAACUUAAGUUAAAUGGAGUUUCUAUCACCCUACUUGAAUUAAAAAUAAAACUUCACACACCUUAAAGUUCAUAAGAGAGGGACUAAAAAGACAAUUCAAUUAUCAGAAAAAAGAAUUUCCAAAAAGUCGGUUAACAGACGACAUUCAGAUCAAGAUCUUAUUUCCCUUUCAUCUUAAACCUUGGGUAUCGAAUCUCAUUUGCUCCUGUAGCUUUUGUCUAUCAAUGUCAGUGUCAGCCCAUUAGAGUGCUUUCGCCAUUGGUGUUCUUUCCAAUCUCUACACAUUUCACCAUUCCACCGAAAAAUUCCUUUUGCCCCUACUGAACUCUAGCUUGGUAGUUUCCACCGUUUGUCCAGAGUUGAGCCUCAAAUUAGACGGCGAACUUAAAAAGCCACCUACAUAAGCUUUACACCUAAUCAUUCCUGAUAACGCUUGCAUCUUCUGUAUUACCACCGGUGCUGGCUCAGAGUUAGCCGAUACUUAUUCCCCAUAUAUCGUCAUUGCUUAUUUUCCUAGAAAAGAAGUUCACGACCCGUAGGCCUUCUACCUCCACGCUUUGUUAUGCUUUAACCCAUUGUGGAAAAUUCCCCACUGCUGCCCCUCAUAGGAGUCUAGGCAGCGUCUCAGUCCCAGCCACAAAUAGGCCAACCUUGAAAAUGGAUUGUGGGAGAAAAUUUCUGCCUUAGAUUGAAUCGAAAACUUACACAAAUAAAGAAAAGAGACAAACAGAGUUAUACUAACACCAGUUUGGUGUUAGCCAAAGAGCAUUUGAUGCCUUAGUCAAAAAGACUAUAAGAAGUAAUAAGAGUAUGGUGAGAGUUCUAGAUUAUAGAAAUAAAGUGGUUGACCUUGACUAUUUAUAGAGGACUGAGGAGUUAGUCCUAGCAUCCAGGUUCGUUGAUCUUGUUAGCAGAGUGUUACCUAAUCAGGCUAAUCUCCACAUUGGUCAAGGCAUAUUUCUUUGAGAUUCCUGGAAUAUGCAUCGAAAAGUCUUGUUCUGCUAAGAGACUGAUAACUAUUAAGGGUACAAAUGUAAUACAGUUAGUAAUAUAGUUAGGUAGUUAGUAUUUGGUUAAAGUAGUUAGGAUUUCUUUAUAAAUAGUAUGUGUAACCUUCAUUUCAGUAAGUCAGUACAAAACCUAUUUCUCUCUAAACUCUUUCUCUAAAAAAUCUUUAGAGAAAGAGUUUAGAGAGAAAUAGGUUUUGUACUGACUUACUGAAAUGAAGGUUACACAUACUAUUUAUAAAGAAAUCCUAACUACUUUAACUAAAUACUAACUACCUAACUAUAUUACUAACUGUAUUACAUUUGUACCCUUAAUAAUAACUAAACCAAUUACAUAUUAGAAUAAUCUGCUUAGGUCGCAUGACGAUCGACUUGGACUAUUGAUGAGGAAUUGGGCCCAUGGGCAUGUUGAUUGUGGGCCUUCGUAGAGAAUAGGGUCCAUUAGCCUGUUAGACUUCGACUAAUGAUUUGUGUAUAUCGUCAAGGACAAAAUAAUCAUAUUCAAUAGUAAUUUAUACACAUGAUGUGUUUCCAGUAAUCGAGAUAUUUUAUAUUUCUACACGGACCAUAAUAAUUUGGUGUUACAUGGAGGAGAAUGUUUGUCAAGGAGAUGUUUAAAGGAACAAAAGCACUUGUCAACAAGAAACAUGUAUGAGAAUCUUAUCGCAUCUUAAUCCUAAAGAUUGUUUGUAUAUAUAUUGGUGUCGGUUCGAUUAAAUUAACAAAUGGUCCCCCAGCUAAUCACUUGUUAUUAGUGGAUAAUGGGCAUUAUUAGACGCAAAAGAUUUGCUUAAGCAUCAAGGCACUCGCUCUCGAUGAUGUUUACAUCUUCCAAUUAAAAAUAUUCCCACCAUGUGAUCACUAAACAUGGGAUGUCUGAACUAAAGAAGUUAGCUAUGAGAGGGUUUCCAGCUUUUGUUUUUCGUUUUUUUACAAUUAUUAUAUAAAUUCAAAACGACUUUGGAUGAAUGGCUAGGAUGAAGUUCUUUCAAUGUCAAUGUCAUAAUUUCCAAAGAAAAGAAAUAUAAUUAUACUUAAAGAAAUAUUUGAUGAAAGGGUCAGUGUCAUUGCAGCAAUCCUUGAUUUUGUUCAUGCAUGUCAGCUCCAGGCAGGAUCUUGCAUUUCCAAUCAAGAGAAAAUCUUGGUGACAUUACUUCACUAUAAUUUACUUUUAAUUAACUGUUAAAUACUCUAAAGCUAAAAAAAAUGCAAUUAUAUCACAUCACUAUUAUACCAUUACCGUAUAUACGAUUCUAUAGGUUAUGAAAAGAUUUAGUUAAGAAUAUAUAGGACUAGUUAAUUGCACCGCUUAAUUUACAAUUAACUUUAUAGUUAAAAUGAUUUUAAAAUUGGCACAACUCCUUAUUUUAGUCCCUGAGAUUAGCUAAAAUUUUCUCAAUGCUCAAUAUACACAAUAACUUUUGUUUAAAGAAACUUGGAUGAUGUUACAUCAACUAUACGUUGUCUCAUGCAUGUUAGAAUUUCUAGGGUUUGGAUACCGUUAUAUAUACACACAUAGAUAUGUUAGAAGGUCAAACACUAAUUUGUGCAUGAACCAGUUACCCAAUAGCUAGCCAUGAGAAAUAGACUUUUGAGUUUUGAAUUCUUAGACAUUAGAUGAAGACAAAUUAACUAUUUACACAUUUGUAAGACAAAAAAAACACAUGUGCUAUGCUUAUGUUCCCUCUACAUUGGAUUUGUAUUGGGACUUUAGGGUUGAAAUUAAGCAUGAAGCCAACAUAGUGGAAGGUGUUUUGGGGAUAGAAAGUUGAUAAUUUGUACCAAGUUUGGGACCCUUGUGCUUUGAAAAUACAUCCUUUAUUACUUGGGUAUCUAAAUUUGAAACUCUUGUUUCUAAUUCCCUCCUUUUCUCUACCAACCCAAAGGGCCGGCUUCCCUUUUCCUUUCAAUUAAGGACCUCGAAUGUGCAUGAAUGGUGCUCAAAUGAAAUAUGGAGGUUGACCACAGUGGCUGUCACUCCAUCACUGUAGAUCAUCUUGAUAUAUUUUCAUCAUCUUGACCAACACCACCUAAUUGUGUUGUCCUAAAGGGCUGGUUGGUUAUUAAGUCUCCACGAGCCAAAUGAUUAAUUAACCGAACUCACCUGCCAUUGGAAUUUUUUUCGGUUCUCAUGGCCAUAUUCAGAUCAGAUGCUUAAUACUUUUUAUGUAUGUAGUAUGUAUAUAUACCUUACAUAAUACGUUAUAUACUUAUAUAUGGACUCCCCUACUAGUAAGGGUCUCCCGCUGGACUGUAACAAAACUAGUGGUUAUCACCCAUAUAUACCCAUAUAUUGAUCAGCGAUCACAAUUAUGUAUGGGUAAUUUAUGGUCAGUAAGUUUUUGUUAAAGUGUGUAUAUUCAUAGACUUGGGGAUUUUGAUAUUCAUAUAAAAAAAUUCGUGCGUUUUUUAUGAAUUUGGAGUGCUAAUAACAACUUUUUAUACCUACGUACUACCUUGUGUAUAAAAUAUCAAGUAAUCAUAUCUUGCAAAGUAGUGUAAUAAACUGUUACAUAUUGACCAAAAAUGCAAAAGAAGCUCUUACAUACACACACUUCAUUGGAAGGGAAACUUAAUUUAUGACUAGGAGCAUACAUGGCUAAAGAAGGGUAGUUAAUUAAUUCAUCUUAAUUUUAUUAACCUUUUCAUUUGAUUCGAAGUCAAAAGGUAAAUAGGGUUAAUUCGUUAUCUGUUGAAAAACCAGUCAGUUCAAGACUUUUCUUUUGGCCAUCCCUAAUUAUGGAGUAGAGCGUAGAGACGAGGACCAUACUUAUCAUCACUUGGAUUUUCAAAGUCUAUAUGCGCCGAAAAAUUUAGAAACAAAAGAAAGUAUAUAUGCGCAAGGAAAAAAAAAGGUUAAUUAGUCCUUAAGAAGCAAUUCAAAACCAAUUUAUUACAACUAGGCGAUUAUUUUUUAUAGAUAAUGAUUUGCGUUGGUCAAGUAUGCUAUCAUUUAUUCAACAAUUAAUAAGUAGUGGAUUGUCUUGGUGGUUAAAGUCUUCUCUUUCAACCUAUUGUAUUAUGUGUUCAAAUAUCUCUCUUUAGUAAAUUAAUGUAGAAUAUUACUGGUAAAAUUAUCAAAUAAUUAUUUACUCGAUUUAGAAUAGUGUAGCUCUUGCCACAAAUUUCAACGACCACUUGACCUAGUUUUCUUUAACCUUUACCAGUACAUUAGGGUAGUGGAGCUCUAAUCAGUGUUGAAACAUAAUCAUGGACCAACUGCCAGUAGACCCCUAACCCUAAGUUGACCGAGAAACAAUUAUUAAAGCCAUAAACUCUAAGAUCCUGCCAUUGAGCACCUCAUUAUGAGCAGGGAUUUUUCAAUGUGAUUGGAGUAGAGUAGGAUUCUUUGGGGUAAUGCUAGGGAGGUUAAAAUUUUAAAUUACAUAAUGUAUCAUCAAUAAGAAAUAAACGCAUUAAUCAACGCCUAAGUAAUAAUUCAAUCAUUAACAACCAAAUCAUUUGGUUUGCAAAUUUAGUUUAAAAAUUUGGUCUCCCUAACACUAUCCUGAUUCUCUGCCUUUUAAAUUUCCUCCCCUCCACUCUUCUUUUUUCACUUUCAUUUGUCUUUCUUUCUCUACAAAGAAGUCAACAUCACACGUUGAUGUGACUUAAUCGUGAUCCUUCAAAUAAAAAAUGAUUGAAGGGGUGAGGAAUUUGGAGGAAAAAGAGUCUUAAUCUGAUAAGAACACAUGGCAGUAUGUCACGUGUCAUUAUACAAUUGGAAGAAUAUUUGAAAAAGAAAAUUUUCCUCCAAUUGUAAAAUAACGUGGCUUAGCGUCCGUGUUUUGAUAACAGUGAAAAAUCUCUCCAUUAUGAGUUAGCUUCUGGGACCAUACAAUUUGCAUCCUCCAUCCAAUUCUUUGCAAUUUUCUGAGUAUAUAAAAUAAUCCCUUUUGCAUUUGUUGGUGGAAUUGAUUUCGGUGUACCUAAAAGUAAAAUUAUUCCUAAACAAUUAGAGCAUGUUAACUUGGUAUGGGAAUGAGAAGUAAUAAUUAGCUAUCUUAAUUUUUUUUUUAAUUAUGUCGUAUCCAAAAUCAAUGGCAUCCUUCUUUUUUUUUUUUAGGAUUAAUAUGUGAUUUUAUUUAUUUAUUUAUUUAUAAGUGAUGUAUAAUUAAAUACUUUUAUAAUUACAACCAUAGCAAGUGGUCCAGUGGUAAAAGCGCAGACUGCGGCUCUCCAAUAAACAAAAAAAAUGUGGGAGGUCUCAGAUUCAAUGCUCUGUGCUGGUGAGUCUACGUGAAUGUAGCCACGGGCAGGGUGAAAUUUCUCAUAGCCUCUAUGGACCCAAAACGGAUGGAUAACCGUAGGUUGCCACUAAUUGUUCUCCUUUUUUUAAAUUAACUUGACAAAAAAAAAAAAAAAAAACCUCUUAGAACUAUAAGCUUCGUGUGUGAUUUUUAAGGCUUUGCAAUAUGCCACUUUUUUUUCCUGUCCUUUUAAUCUAGGAAAUGGCUUGAGCUCAAAAUUUACAUUAGUUUUCGGUUUUCAUUUUGUGUCUGAGAAAUAUAAAGAAAGUAUGUGUGAGAAAGGAGGGAUGAGGAAUGGUGAGGUAAAAUAAGGAAGACGGCAAAAAGCAAAAUGAUUGCAACUGAACAACUUCAAAUAAUAUUUAGUUUUUAAUUUUUUUUUUGCUUUUAUUUUGUGUUUCUCUCCUGCAUCUCUCCCAACAUCCUUCAUUUCUUUUCUUUUUCUCCUUAGUUUACCAUUUUUUUUUUCAAUUUUCUCUUCUGCACAUUCGACAUUCCUAACUUUCUAUUUUCUUGAUUUGUUAAACAAACUCCAAUUGUGGGCUAAAAGCCAAAUUACCCCCCAAAAUUUCCCCCCAAACCCAAUCCAACCCAAGGGGAAAAUUUGGGCUAAAUGCUAAAUGCUAAACCAAGGCCAGAUUCCCCAAAAAAUUUAGCCCAGAAAUCGGAGUGGGCUCCACCGAACUGAGUGAAAAUGGGCGUUUGUGUGCCAAACGCAGCCCACCCACUCGCCCAACUCGCGUGACACACGACACCUCAGACAACGAGGGCCCCGCCCACGUGGCCUGUCGGCCACGUUCCAUAGCACGUCCAACGGUUAGUUCCAUCCAAUGGUCACGAUCUACAGGCAGUUGGUUAAUCCAGUGGCCUAGAUUCAUUUUUUUUUGUUUUUAUAUCUAUAUAUUAUUGAAUCCAACAAUUGAGAUCGAAUAUAAUCAAAUCUAACGGUAAAAAAAAGAUCCAAUAGCCCAAAUUUAAAUCCAACGGCUAAAAUAAUUAAAAAAAAUUAUUUAACUCAAAUUCACCCAAAAUUCACCCAGGGUUGAAAGAUUGGUGAAAGUUGAAGGCUUGCUUUGUGGAAAAUUUAGUGAUUUUUCAAUAUUUAUCGGAAUUUAAAUUUUUUUAGAUUAAAAUAUUCAUAAAAUUAAUUUACGUUAGUCUACAUAUUUAUUUAAAAAAAAUUAAUUUAACAAAAAAAAUAGCCUAAGUACAUUCUUUAAUAAUCCCGGGCUAAAAUUUUAGGUCAGAACGGUUGGAGCAGAAAAACUGUUUCUAGACUAAAAGCUAAAUUUUUCGGGAUAAAAUAUUUGGCUUUUAGCGCAACCAUUGGAGAUGGUCUUAGGGGAUUGCUGAUGGGUGGACUGAACUGAGGAAAAUAAAAUACAACAAAAUGAGAGGGAGGGAUCCUAAAUAAGGAUUAGGAUUCUCUUUCCUCUUUUUUUUUUUUUUUUUUCUCUCCUCUUCUUUCCUCUUCUAUAUGAACGGUCACGAUUAAAUUAGGUUAAUAUUUUCUGUUGACUUCUUUGUAGAUAGAGAAAGAUAAAGUAGAAAAUGUACAAGGAGAGGAAGUGAGGUGGGACGAGGAGAAUUGAAGGGGAGGCUGUGCCGACAGUUCUCAAUUAAGGGUACAUAUCUCGAGUCCUAGAUAUAUAUCUAUGUCCUCCUAUAAGUUUAUAACUAUUACUAUGGUCCACUAUACCACUUGUUUUAAACGAAUAAGUUGACUUGAUGUAGUGUUGGAAGUUGGUCUCGUUAUAUAUAGUACCAGUUCUCAUGCAGACAUGUGCAUGUGCUGGUGUGCAUACGCUAUCGCCAGCCGCCGCACUUCUAUAGGAGACGAAUGCCACGCUUUACUUUAUCAAACCUUAAAAAGAGAAAUGCCAAACAGAACCUCACAAAGUGAACUCUUCGUCGACUCUCUAUCACUUUACAGUUUGUCAAUUCUCAUAACAGCAUUAUAAAAUGGGAUAUUUUGGAUGCGGUCUUUAAUCCUUAGCAUUCUUUGAUCAAAAUCUUAAUAGUAUUCAAAGUUUAAUCAAGGUCUCUUGACUUUGUACACCUCAUUAUAUUACUAUUAAUAUUUAUAUUUUAUAGUUUUGACAUUAAUUGUUUGAUAUUUUAUGUGAUUUAUAAUCCUAUAAAUUUAAAAUCCCUCAUUAUAAUACUAUUAGAAACGGUUACAAUAAAAAAAAAUUCAAACAUUUUGAUUGAAUAAAUGGAUAAAAACUAUGUAAAAAUAAGAAAUAAUAAAUGGCAAAAGAAUGUAUCCAUAGUGUUAAAAAAAUUGGUACAUUUCACAUAUAACAAAGUGGUACAUUAAUAAAGAAGAAUGGGUACAUUAGAAAUAGAUUAGGGUACAGAUAAAAGAUUAAAAAUUAUGAAUACAAAUGAAUUUUUUAAAAUAUAGGCGCUAAAAGAAAUUAAUACAUGGGUACAAAAUAAAACUAAAAAGAAAAUACUACAAAUUAAAAAAAAAUGUUGCAAAUUAAAAGUGGGUACAAACUAAGAAUAUAAAUAUAUGAUACAAAGUUUAGGCAUAAAACAUAAAUAUACCAUAUGUAAUUUUUCUAUCAUUAAUUAAAUAUACAAUGUCACGUGACGGUAUACACAUGAGUACAAACACAGAUAAAAUUUUUAAAAAUAUGGGCACAAAAAAAACUAAUAUAUGGGUACAAAUUAAAAAUAAAAGAAAAUUGGUACAAAUUAAAAAAUAUUUGCAAAUUAAAAAUAGGUACAAACUAAAAAUAAAAAUAUAUGAUAAAAAAUUUAGUCAUAAAUAUAAGUAUACUAAUUGUAACAUUUUUAACAUUAAAGGAAUAUAUUUAAAAAUAAAUAUAUUUUAUUAUUCAAAUAAUUAAUGAUGUUAUUAAUAUCCAAGGACCUUGAUCAAAAAUUGAAAAUGAAUAAGAUUUUAAUCAAUGGAGUAACAAAAAGAAUGAUGUGAAUCUAAGAGCCUGUUUGGUAUUCUAUUUAAAUCUAACUUUUUAAACUCAAAAACAAUUUUCAAGUUUUAGGCCUUAAAAAUUUGUUUGGUAUGACUAUUUUCAAAAACUGAACUCAAGACUAACUAAAAAAUAUAGUCUAUUAUCUAAAAACACAAAAAGUGUUGUAGACAUAAUUUACUGAACAAUUAUGAAGGCCUUAGAGAGAAGGGUGCGGUAAUAGGUAGAGAGAAAGAGAGAUGUGUAAUUGUGGGGUGUGUUCUAUUCCACCCCAUUGUGCCUUUAUUUAUAGUAGUAGGAUAGGCAAAAACCUUUCCCUUUAGGAUUACAACAUUUAAUAGGUAAUCUACUCCUAAUAGAAAUAUAAGAGAUAUUCCAAGAUAUACUAGGAUUUACACAAUCACAUUCCUAAUCUAAUAGGACUGGAACACUCCCCAUUGAGUGUGUAAAUACUCAAGUAAAUGGCGCAUCAGGUCUUCAGUGAUGAAGCAAGUACAGUUGAUGAAGUCGUCGGCACAAUAAGUGAAUGUGAGUGUCAAAUCAGCGGAAAAAUGCAUAAAAAGUAAAACUCACAAAACCUCGCUAUGGUAAAACCCAAAAUGGGAGAAAAGCCACAUACUAAGGAGAAAAGUAAGAAGUUGCAUUAAUUCAAAACUAUACAUCUUUUGGACGCAAGUAGAAGAGCUCACAAGGGUAUGAUCAGCCCAGGAUUGGUGCCUCGUUAAAAGCUAGUUAGGUAGCAAAAACCUAGUGGGAAAAAUGCUCCUAAUCAUAGGGAAAAAAGUACAUUAAGAUCAAGUAAGUACACUUCUGGAUACUCCCCCUGAGUUUGACAUAACUUCCAAAUGAGAACUACAAGCAUUGUAUAUGAAUAGUUAGGCAUACCAAUUCCUCAGACAAGCUUCUGGAAGGUUGACUUCGGCAGUGACGUCGUGUAGAGGUAGGCAAGGUUGUCUGGGAUCAGCUUGCAUGACUUCAAUUUCUUGAUGCUUUGCUGAUGUAGAUGUGGACGCAAUAUGUCUUGGUGUUGACUUCGUUGAUGUAUCAUGACCUGGUCGAGUUGAAACAUGCAGUAUAAUCUUCAUGGAUCGUCGUUGGGACUCAACGAUGGAUGAAAACACAGCAAGUACUUCAAAUAUUCUCAACAAGACCUCCUAACCAUGUCUCACUUGUGGAAUAAUGAAGUAAGGUGAGUCUUGGAACAAUUCAAAUAUGUCACAACUAAGGUUAUAUCAUGGACCUCCAAGAUAUUGCGAUAUCCCUAACGGUAAAGACAUAACCAUUUGGGGAUUUUGCCUUGUGCAGGUUUAAUAAGUAACAUGUGUCAGCAUAACAAACAAGGCAAACAUCAUUUCGAGGAUCAAGGGGUUGGAUCGGCUAAGAUGCGUUGGGAUUUGCCCAUGUAGUACCUUCAGGGUACAUCUUUAAUACCAAUUCAGUGGUUGCGUGUAGGCGCAGUGCUGCAUCUUUACCAAGAUCAACAGCGAAUGAGAUGUCCUGUCUAAAUACAAUGAGCUAAGUACAAUGAAGCGCAAAGUUGAACUUUAGAUAAGGAAUUUCGGAUUCCAUAACCUCUUCAAGGGUCUUAUUUGCAUAUAACGUAUGGACGAUCAAAGGUAUACUCAAAGGUAACACAUUCGAGAUGUAGUUCGACUGGUAACCAAAAUAUCGUCAGAACAACGCUUGAACUUCAGGUCAAGGCAUAAACGAGUUUUCCUAAGAUCCUUCAUCUCAAAUUCCAUCUUCAGGUGCGAUGCAGUUUUCUCAAGCUCUUCUGGAGUCUUAGUGAGAUUCGUGUCAACGACAUAAACUGUAACUCUAGCAAUUCAGAAUAAGACUUUAUAGUUUAACACGCAAGGGCAUAAUUCAUCCCUGACUGAUCAAAUAAUCACUUAGACAGGUAUACCACAUCCGUCGGAUUGUAAGUGAACGUCUCAAGCAAGUUAAGAGGGUGUUCCAUGGUUUUGGAACUAUUUAAACCAAUCCAUGUAAUUCUUCAGGAACUUUCAUGUAAAUCUCCGUAUCUAUAUCCCCAUGGAGAAAACACUAACCACAUUUCAUCAUGCUACUAUCAAUCACAGGACGUUUAAGAGAAACCUUGCACCGUAAGGCAUGCAUUAUCGCACUAUUUCAUUCAUCUCAAUACACUUCAUUUCCCACUUGUAACACAACAGGGUUAUCUUAGGCAGUGUAGGGACAACAGGUCCAAACACACUUUGGUAAGGAAUUUGACCUGGAUUGUAAUUUCAGUUAUCCAAUCAAUUCUACGUUGUCACUUAAUCAACAGAAUUGUCGCUUUUCAUUUAUGUCAGUUGCUACCAUAUAAGUGAAAACAUCAUCGAUGAUAAUCUUAUUUCAAUUCCAUUUAGCUCAUCCAAACUAGUACACUAGACCAAGAACAUUAAGUCUCGGGAGAAAUCCGGAAUAAUCUCAUGAGAUGGAAAUGAUUUGAGACAGCGAUCGAGUUUAGAUUCAUUGUUGUGUCGUAUCUUCCUUUUCUAGGGAAGUGAAUCCUACGAAUUGAAUGAUCUUUCGUGCUCCAAGCCAAGACAGAUUGAUUGGCUAUCCGCCAGUGUACCGGAUCGUCCAAUAUGGGUGUCCAAACCGCUCAACAGGGGCGGCACACCCUUCAGGGAUGUUGACUCAACGUCCGUUAAAUACGUCUAUCCUUGCAGGCAUGUUUGCAGCUGGUAUAUGAUCUUGUCACUUUAGCUAAAUUAGAGGAAUAUGUCUGAAGCAACAUUCUGAAAACUAUAAUUCAUCGCAUUUGCUUAUCACACUUGUGCGGUAUGAGGAUCGAGAUGAGACAUAGUGGGCAACGUCCAAGCAACUUCACGCCGUUCUAUAGGAACGAUGACGUUCUUAUCUCCCCCUAAUGGUGGGAAAACUGUCUCAUGAAAGUGACAACCCGCAAAUAAGUGGUAAAGAGUUCACAUGCAAGGGCUCAAAGAGAGCUAGUGUGAAGGAGAAUCAUGGUCGACAAAAGAUACACAUCCUUCUUUUGAGGACCCAUGGUGGUACGUUGCGGCGGCACAACUUGGCAUAUGGAAUGCACACCCAAAUGCGUAAAUACGAAAAUCGUCAGGUUCGUACCCAGUAACCAACUGUAACGUCAUAUAAGUUGGGUGGCAAUGGGCCUCAAGGCAGACCAACAUAACUACAUACAAGGAUUGCAUAGCCCUAGGCAGAAAUCCAAAACUUGGUACAUUUACCAAAAUUCAGGCGAUCAUUUAAAUUGCACUUUAUGAUCGCUAGGCGAGGCUAUUUGGGGUGAACAUGGGAAUUCAAUGUUCAAUUAUAAACUCAAAAUACAUGCAAUACUUUAUCGAAAACUGUCGAUAUAAACUCUCUGGCAUUAUCCAGUCUCUCAGACCUUAAAGGAUAAGUAGGGUGGUGAACCCUUAAUCGGCCAUGAGGUUUAGCAGUAAUGUUUGUAAACAAACAUGUGACCAGUUUAUCGAUUUAUCAACCAAAACCAUAAGUAUUUUAUGGUCCACAUUUUGGUUAGAUUAGUCCACAUAUAUUCCCUUGAAUCCACUGUGAAAAAAUAGUCGUGUCGUAUCUUUGCAAGGAAUGAUAUAGAAAUCAAUUUCCCUAAUGAGCAUGCUUGACAAAGUGUGCUUGUAGGCACAAGAUCCUUACUUCGGGUAAGGAGAUGCGUUGUAGCAUCAUUGUUCGACCUAAGUGUCCCAAAUGGUCGUGCCAAAACAAGUAAACUGCUCAAUCACCUAGCUCCAGGCCGACCACAUGUGGUGUGUUCCCAGUUGGGAGACAACCCAUUGGCCCCAAAUCAAAGCUUCAAGUUCAUUUUUGGAGGUGGUGCAAAGAUAUUUCACUCUAUUUUCUUCAAUGGUUUCAUUUAUGAUCAUUGUCAUCUCGAAUAUUCUUAAACACUUAACGUCAGGGAGAAUUUAAGGUCCCUUAAAUGGUGAUGUAGUACCAUUCAUACAACGAGGAGCGUGCCAAAUGCUUUUAAUCAGGUUGGAUAGACCUGAAGUCGUUGUUAGAGAUGCGAUUUAGAUGUAAAGUUAGUAUGCGUAGUACGCAUUCAUCCAAGCAACUAACUUUCCCACAUUCCUACCUAAUCACGUGUUUAAUUGAAUCGGUCACAUGUAUUAAGAAACAUGAUUCAAUUAACUCAUAUUCGAGGACAAUAUCAAUAAGAUUAUCCAUAAGUAAAACAAGAUUAUCCAUAAGUAAAACAUACACCAAACUUGAAUCCAAGAACAUGGAAAAAUGUUCACAAAGUAAAUGGUUUACUAAGGGGAUUCGGCCAACAAGGCCAUCCAUGUCAAAAUUCUGCUCUUCCAACGAUGUUUGGUGGAGCAAAAUUAUUCUCACAUAUUGACUACUAGAAUGGUACUCCUCAACAACAUUGGUAAGGGCACGAACAGGUGCAUAACCAAUGAUUUAUUCCAUCGAUGCAUAAGUAGAUGAUGCAGGGUUGAGGUUCGGGAAUACUAUCCCUUAUUCUUGAAGUUUUAGGUCUUAGGUGCCAAGGGUCACGCUUCAGGCAUAAUGCUGCACCUUGGCAGGCCCUGAUUCUACCAUAUAUUGUAAAAACAAACUCGAAAUUAGAUUGUGAGAGAAUAUGCCAUUCAGUGUAUCCCUGCCAAAGCAGUGCAUUACCAUUCGAUAGGCUUUGACCGAACUGGGUCGAGCUAUUCAGUAGACUCCAGCCGAACUGGGUCCAUACCUUUCUUUCACAUUUGUGGUAGUAAUCAGAUCCAAAAAUUUGGUAAACUUCCGCUUUCUACACUACUGCUUCAGGGGUGAGUUUGAAACAUGGAAGAACGAGAAAAGUAUUAUCUAGUCAAAAUUCGAUCAGAUUUAUAAACUGCAAAAUUGUACUCAUUCAUGGAGGUAAUCAUGGUGUGCUUCAGGCAAUGUCUUUCAUGAUUAGACAGUCCAUAGGAACAAGCCAAAAAGCCAUGAAACCCUCGUUCGGGAGGUACUUCCAUUUGUAAUGCUUUGAACAUAAGUCUUCAAAUGAAGAUCAUAGUGGAGGCUUAUUCAGCUCUUCCAUGCCAUUGUUGGCUUCAAUGGUUUGUUAGUUUCUUAAUAGUCAAGGGGAGAUUCACUUUUUGUACCCCACAUAAAAUGGUUUCUAUUAGAAACGUCCAAAUCAGGAAAAUCGAACUUGUGACGGUUCGACAAUCCACUAAAUUGGAGGGAACAAGAUUGUGAUUGGUGCUAUGGGAAUGAAUCAUCCAUAAGCAUCAAAGUUAGAACAUUUGAGUUCUAAGACAUGGUUUUCAUGAAAAACGUAUGGUUUUUAUGGGUGUAUUGUUUUAUGAAAACUUCGGGUUUCAAAGGCACUAAAUUUGAAACUACAAAUUCAAUUUAGUUUAUGAACGUUUAGUUCAUAAAAGAGAGGUUCCUGCAAGAACACAUAAUGUAAUAUACAACUAAGUGUAAUGGAUUUGGGUUGCUUGAGGAACUCAAGUGUGAGUGCUUCGGGACUACGAAAGUAUGUCAACGAUUCAAAGAAAAGAAAUAAAAUAUUGAAUCAUUAAUGUCAAAAAGUGAUCUUCAGGUCAAUAAUUUUGGAUUCAUUAUCAGAUUAAUGGAAUGCAUGUCACUUUUAAUUAAUUCAAUAAAUCGGGACCAAACGAGGUCGAUUGUAGAAGCAAAAAUAAUAAUAACAUUCAGAUUAAAAUUAUUGGGAAUGCUUAAAAUAGCAUUAGGAUUCGAAAAUAUAUUGCCCAAAAUUGGUUUUUGUUAAUAAGGCAAGGCCCUAAGGGUAUUUGGGCCUCGGGUGUGGUGCGGGAAGCCUAGCCAAAGGCUAGGAUCAUUUUGGGCCGUGGGGAACUAAGACCAACCAUCUGGGCUGGCGUCUGGGCACUCAGGUUGCGGGCCAGGGUGAGCGCGGGGCAAAGGCUCAACAAGCAAAGCUUGCUGCAAGCCGGGUCGAGCGAAUAGAACAGAGCCCAGCAGCAUGGCUGCUGGCAUUGUGGGCUAAGUGCUAGGGCAGGGCCUUAAUAUGCCUUCCUGUUUGGACUUAUGGCUUCGGGCCAUGUUCAAAACCGAACCCAGGCCGAUGCCUGGUUGCAUGCUCAAAGACAACAAGCCUGCGGGGCUUCUGUGAGAAGGUCUAAGGUGGCGGAACGACGUCGUCCUAGCCAGCUCAACAAUGUGGCACAGUGUCGCUGCUCAACCGCGAUGAAAUCCCGAUAUUUUUUUUUCAAAAUUUAGGGUUGAAACCCUAAGUGCUUCUAAUUUAUUUCAAUUCUUUGACUCACAAUUCCACAUAGCAUAUAUGCGUAAUGCAUGAAACAAAUAUAUAAACAUAUACAAUAUAUAUCGGAGGGAAAAUAUAAACAUAGGGGGGUUCAUGCAUCAUGGGGAAUGUUUUCAUGCUUUAUGGUCGUUUCAAAUAUCUUACUUUAUUUUAAGCGUACCUGAUUGACAGAAAACAACAAAAGCCUUUAAACUUGUAGAAGAUCAUUCUCAUAAAGUCGGAAUUGCAUCUCCAAUGCGUUGUAUCACGUUCAACACAGAAAAAAUUAAAUUGAAUCAAUAGCAUGUAAAUCAAUUCAACAAAAUAAAUAAAUUAAUCAUAAAAAGAAUGAUUAAAACGUAAUACUCCUCUAAUUGAAGAAUAAACUAUCUUUAGCACAGCGUCAAGAGCGUGCUAAUAACGUGUUGUAGGCAUAAUUUACUGAACAAUUAUGAAGGCCUUAGAGAGAAGGGUGCGGCAAUAGGUAGAGAGAAAGAGAGAUGUGUAAUUGUGGGGUGUGUUCUAUUCCAUCCCAUUAUGCCUUUAUUUAUAGUAGUACGAUAGGUAAUAACAUUUCCCCUUAGGAUUACAACAUCUAAUAGGUAAUCUACUCCUAAUAGGAAUAUAAGAGAUAUUCCAAUAUAUACUAGAAUUUACAUAAUCACAUUCCUAAUCUAAUAGGACUGCAACAAAAAGUGAGUUUUUAGAGUUUUUAAACUUAAACUCACUCCUUUAUUUUUUCUCCCUCCUUCACUCUCACUCCAAAUCUAUCUCUCUCCCCCUUCUCUCUUUUUCUUUUUACCUUUUUUGUCUCUCUUCCAAUCUGCUCUUUUUCAUUCUCUCGAUUCUUUCUCUCACUCCUCUUCCUCUCUAUCUCCUCUUAUCCUCUCACUUCUUUCUCUUUCCUCCAAUCAUCUCUUACUUUCUUUUCUCCUCUCUCCUCUUUCUUUCUCGACCCCCUCUUUUUGGAUCUCUUUGUCCAAUUUAAGUUGUAAGAUUUAAAAAUUUUAAAUCGCAUACCAAACAAGUUUCUGAGUCUUAAAGAAAAUUGAUUUCAAGAAAAAUUCUUAAGAAAUGUUUUGAAAAAUUAUAAAAUUUUUCAAAUAGGAUACCAAACAAGCUCUAAUUUUCCCUUAUAAACUAUUGUGCUAAAAGUAUGAGGUGACAAAAAGUCUAUAGAGAGUCAUACUUUUGAGAAACUCUCUUUAGCAUUUCUCCCUUACUAAUUAGCAUGUCGUUAAGCCUUACUAUGAGGAGACGUACGAAUGUCAUGCCUCCUCCACCUAAAAACCUCUCUAAGAUUUGUAUCCGAGAGCACCAAUUUGAAUAACGUAAUUUGUCAAAUGUCAAACACAAAUGAAAUGAUGGCUUAUAUGUAAUUAACAUGAUUUUUUGCAUGCUAUCAUAAUUUGGAUAAAAGAUGAUAGAUUCAUGUAGCCUCAUUUUGCAUUUGAAUAACGAAAUUUAAGAAGACUAAAGAAAUGAAAAAAAAAAUAUGAGAUUUAAAUAUCUAUAAUUUGUAAUAUUUUGUUUAAUUAUCUAUCAAGUUGCAUAUUAUAAUGGGACAUAAUGAAGUUCAAUUUAAUCCCUACAAAAGGUAUCAAUUAAUCGGAGUAAGAAAGACAAGUAGUGUGACGGUAGGGUUGGUGAUAUUAUGGGAUGGUGGUGGUGGUGGUGGUGGUGGUAAACUGGUGACAACGUAGUGUGUUGAGGGUGAUGGUGAUGGUGAUGGUAUAUAUAUGGUGCUAGCGGUGGUGGUCGUAUACGGCCAGUGGAAGGUUAGUGAUAUCAAUGUUUUCAAAACUCUCGUAUGUUUUGGGUAAACGAAUUGCAAGCUUAAAGGCAUGUAUGUGGGGAUGGUGAAUAAUGUAUUUCGAAGUGAAUGGUAAUUCUGCGGUAGAUAGCAUAUUUUGAGUUCUAGGUGUCUUUUUAUGGUUGAAAUCACCUUUCCUGAAAAGAAACAAGAUGAUUCCAAAUCGCUACGUUGCCAAGUUUAAUGUGGAUUUUGCCGUUAAUACCACGUUGAUGAAUAGGUUAAAACUAUUUUUAAGUUUUAAAAUUACUUUUGGAAUUUUUGAAAUUUCCCAAUUUAUUUUUCUUUCGCAACUAGGAUUUGCCUUAGACUAUUAAUUAAAUUUUAAGGUUGUAAUUUGAUAACCUUAACAUCUUAUUCAAUUAAAAAUUGAGAGUUUCUCUCAAGUUUCUAAGGGUGACCGUUUGUAAUCAAUUAAACCUAAUGCACGGCAUAAUAUUUACAAGGCAAUGAGAGGUUUAUUAAUGACUCAUUCCAAGUAUUGAUUUACAAAUAUCUCUGACAUACUUUAAUAAUCCCCUCUAUCUAACAUCAAGUGCAUUUAUAAUUCCCUCUAUUUGACAUUUUGUAGUCUAUUUCUUUCUCAAUUUGCCUAAAUUAUUUCGAAUUUUAAAGUCUCUCAUCCGGACUAGCCUCAAUGUCUUCAAAUUUGAGAAAAGACACUUAUUUACUUUGCUAAAAUUUAAAGUUGGAAAUUUAUGUUUUCAAAACCCCUAUUAGGGAGUUUUCCAAAUAAUUCAACAACCAUUAAUACUUUAUAAAAUGUUCAAAAGUUAACACUAGCUAGCCCUGCUCAUGGACCCUAUUUGGACGUUGGAAAUUGUCUAAAUUUCCAAUAUGCAGCACCUAACCUCAAAACUGACAAAAGAAAUGAAGAUUAAUAUACAACGUACUAGACAUAUGGACUAAAUUUGGACUUAGAAAUAGUUGUCGAACUUUGAAUGUACCUAACCGAAACCUAAUUAACCAACAAAAAUAAGUUACACUACGCCUAAUAACGUAAUUUGUAUACAUAAUGCAUCAUACUCCUUCAUGCACAUUUCAUUUUGUGUUCAUUUAAAUCAGUACGUCUGGUUAAUUUAAUUUCAAUUUGAUUAAUUACGUUAAUCAUAUCACAUGCAAUAGGCAUGGAUGUAACACAAUCUUUCCAUGAAUUUUACACUCAGUAUAGUCUAUAUCUAUUUCCUUAAGAAAAAUUCAUGGACCACUCAAUAUUUAAAAUUUGGAUGACCACAUAGAUUCAAGACAAUAUAUACUAUAUUACGAGCAUGAAAAUUUUCUGCAGGGUCAUUUCUCCUCAUGAUUCAAUAUGAUUUACAAUAUAACUUCUCAGGUACGAUUAGUGCCAUGAUUUUAACUAAUUCAAACAUGUCAAAGUUUUCUAGUUGCUAAUCAUAUUGCAUCCCAUUAGAAAUCAGGAGUGGGUGCACUUUGAUCUCCCUGCCACAAGUCAACGGCAAUUACUUGUUACUCCAAAAGUUCACAUAGAUGCAAGUGACCCUCUAUCACAAAUUCACAAUGAUGGAGAGGAGUGUUGCCAUUCCAUCACGACUUGGGUUCGAAUCCCGUCGGCUCCCUAAUCUAACAAAUCUAUUGUUUGACAAAAACAAAAAAAUCACAUAGGUUAAAAAAACAGCAUCUCAGUUAAUUUAGUAUAUAAAUGAUUAUGGAUUGUUUUAUUCACACCCCAUGUUUUGUUUACUAACCUCACAUACUUAAUACAUCCCACAUGUACUUUUUAAAUCAAAAUUUAUUUUAAUACAGCUCAAGUGUUUUUCAAUGCUACCCCUCCCACCCCCACACGCUCUACUCAAAUCCCACAUCAAACUCUUCAUAAGUUCUAUAAACUUGUUUUCUUCACAACGAAUAGAAGGCAAUGAACAAGCGAAGGAACUAGAAUCAAGUAUGAAACAAAAAAUUUCCCCUAUUCUCUAUUCAAUUUAUAACAUUGUUAUUCGGUGGGGUUAAAUAGCCAUACCUUCCGCCAAUCUUUUCUUUGAUAACAUUGUAUGGUUCCUUCUCUAUUCGAAUAUAUAUGAAUUCACAUGCACAUCUAUUCGGUGUUAUAUCAGUUUGUUCUUCUAGGUUGCACCUGCAAAGUAAAAAAAUGUAUUGCUGGUGUUAAACUAACCAAUUUCCUUUUUUUCUUUCCAAUUCCAAAAUUUCUCUUAUCAGAUAUGCAGAACGAGGAUGAAAAAUAAUCUUUUUGCAUUAACGUUUUGUGCUUCUAGUGGUUAGGGUUUUUGUUAUACAAUGAAGGAGGUGAGUGACUUUGAGAUCUUGAAAAAAAACAAUCUUAGAAUACACGUCUAAAUUAACUUGGGGUGUAUUUAGAAAAUAAUUUUCCUUUUUAAAAUUUUAUUAGGCCUAAAUGGUCAUUUUAUAUUAGGUAUAUAAGCCACUUAACAAUAAAUUUUUAUGUGGGGUGUAUUCAACAAUAUGUGGGGUGUUAAUAAAAAACCCCAUGAUUAUUUGUAACUAAAAUUGGGAUUUUCAAAUAUUCUUUGGUGUAAAUAUAUAAUUUCUAUAUACAAAGGGAGAAGGGGUUCAAGGCGUGUGGCAAAAGACUAGUAGGUUAGGAAAUUCUUGAAGAAUUACGUAGUUUUCUUGUGUGUUAAUUUUCCAUAUAUAUGGCCCUAUUUAUUUAUAACCUCUCUCUAUUUUAAUAAAUUUGUUUUAUAACGAUACAUUAAGGUCAGGAUGUGAGAAUAAAUUAGUAUCGAACUUGUCAUUCAUGAUAUUCAAACCAAAAAAUGUUCACUUACAUUGAAGAAGAAUACCACUAGAUCAUAUACUAAGCGGCCACCUUUUGAUAAUUAAACGAAAGCAAAACUUAUCAAAGACUCCAAAAAUAUGGAUUAGAUUCUUUGUUUUGGACUUAAUUAUUAUGUCUGAAGAAAAAAAAUACUCGUUUUAGAGGCCAAUAUACUUUUUCUUUUGGAAGCAGAUUGUCUGCCCUCCUAUUUGAGUGCCCUUUCCAUCCCCUCAUAUUUGCGCGGUCACGGUUAAGCCACGUCAACAUUUUAUAUUCUUAUUACCUUUUGUCUUAUUAUCUCUAUUAAAAAAUUAAUAUAAAAUGUUGACGUGACUUAACCAUAACCGCACAAAAUAGAAAGGGAUGAGAAUGACAUCCAAACAGGAGAGCAGACAAUCUGCCUCCUUUUCUUUUUCCUUUUCUUAAAGACAAUGACUGAGCUACAUACAUGGGCCGAAUUGUAUACUCAGAAGCAGUAAAUUUGAUAUCUAAAUUAUCCCCUGCACAUUGGAAAUUAACAAAUGCUCACACCACCUAAGUAGAAAAAUUAACACAUAUGAAGUGCAUGCCAAAGAAUCAGUUCUACUUUGUUGUAAUUAGAGACCACUAAUUGGAAGAUAUUUUCAGUAUGUCGGUAACACGGUUUUAUAUAUCAAAUGUCAUAAUACAAGUGGUUGAAAUUUUUAAUUUUAAGUAUUCAACCAUUUAUAUUAUAACAUUGAUGUAUGCCGUGUUUUCGAUAUACUAAAUAAUCUCUCCACUAACUGGUUUUUUGCUAAUUUUUUUUAUUUUUUUUUAGAAAUUGGACCAAAGUGUCUGCCACCUUCCAACUUUUUAGAGCAGAGUGCCUAGAAAUUUCUCUUCUUUAUAGCUUUAAAAGACCAUCUCUAUUUUCCAUAUAAAAAAAAAAGACUUUGGAAUACUGGAUCUUGCUUAUGCAUGCAAAUCUACUAUUAAUCCCCAGAAAGUCCUAAUAUUCUAAUAUGUCUUCUGUGAAAAUAAUAAGAUUUUUUUUUCUUCAUAAGUGGCACAGCAUUGUAUUCCAAGUUCAGAAGUCCACAGGUUCACACUCAUGAUCUGGAUUUUGGUUUUGCUGCUCCAUCGUUCUACACAUAAAGUUAGAAGUGGAAAAGUGUGACAUGCAAGGCUCCAUCGUUCUACACAUAAAGUUAGAAGUGGAAAAGUGUGACAUGCAAGGCAUAUGGAUGCUCCUGUACAUUCAUUGGAUCCUCAACUAUAAUAUUUCAAGUGUGUGUAUAUAUGGGUAAUGCUAAGGAGAUUGUCGAUUUAAACUAUAUUUUGUAAACUAUAUAAGGUGGUUUUUGAUGAUUAGAUUAUUAUUUAAGUGUUGAUUAACGUGUUUAUUUCGUAUUGGUGGCACAUCACAUAAUUCACAAAUAUAAACUAAAAAAUUAGUCUAUCUAAUAGUACUCAAUACUCAUACAAAUAUAUAUAUAUAUAUAUAUGUAUAUGUAUCCCUAUAUAUUAUGUGUUAUUCUUAAGAUUAGAGUAAGAGGGUUGGUACGUAAAUCUUAAUCUAGAGGCCUCUUAUAGGUUAAGGGUCCAAUUUCUUCUAGUGUAAAAAAAUAAAUAAAAGUGAGUAGUGCCCAUAUAUUGACAUAUGGUAGACCUCAACAGUACCAACCGAAUCAGAACACCAACUCGGUAAAGGGUAAUAUUAUUCAUACACUUAUUUUUACUUAUUACAUACCUUUUUUAAUUUUCGGUUGCUGGAUCGAAUGAAUUGAAUAAGACCAAUGACCAAAAAUUAAUAAAGAUGUGUAGAAAGUAAAAAUGAGUAUGUGAAUGGCACUAUCCCCCGAUAAUUAUUGUAAAUUCGUUUUUCUAUUUAUUGAUAUAUCAUGAGGAUACAAUCAAAACUCCAAAAUUACAAAUUAAAACUCCUUCGAAGUUGAAAUUUAACUUUUGUAGAAUAAGGAUCCGUAAAGAAUCUCCGUUGUAAUUUAUGAAUCUCUCUCACAAUCCAAACCCAUGUUUAUUUCAAGCCACAACACGAAUUAGACAAAUCCAAUAAUCUAAGUAGCGAACCAGAAGAAAUUUUCUGUAGUUGAAUAGGUCUCGUUUGAUAAGUUCAAUCCUUUCAAUAUGUUAUCUUUGCUUAGUCUUGCGAAGUAGGAAAUUCCUGAUAAUCUCAAAAAAUAAGAGUCAUCCAAAAAUGACCAAUCAUAGUACUAACGCCAAAUUUGUGUCUCUAAACGCAUACUUUUCUGAAACUAUAAUAAAAACUAGUCGAUCAAUGUUCACAUCAAUAGAUUUUAGCUUUUACAGAACUGCAGGACCUAAAACAGCAUGAAAAGCUUUGAGUUGCCCUGAUUACUAAUUGCAUUGGUGUACAUUACAAAAUUAAGCACAUGCAUGUUAUAUUAUGUUAUCUAGAUGAGAAAAACAACAAGUUUAAAAUGGCGCCAAAUAAUUAGUCAUGUCAGGAUUGAAGUUUUAUAUCGACCAAAAAUCUUUAGGGUCUUCAAGUGGGACCCCCCACCCCAGAUGCAAUUCUGCCUAUUCUUCUUAUAUAAAUGCCCACCACCUCCCCACUUCACAUCCCUCAUCCUUUUCCUAUUUCAGUCUUCAUUCUCUGCUCUCUGCUUUUUUUCUUCUUCAACUAAAUUAGCUACCUCUUUGUUUUGUCUGUCAUCAGCUUCUACUUCACACUCAUAAGAUAGGCCUUUGUCCUUCUAUUUCAAGGCAAAAUUGUGUUACCCUACAAAACUAGGGUUACUGCAUACUGUUGGGGGCUGCGUUUGUCCAACGAAGAUCAGACACGUGGCAAGCAUGAAGGAGAAUGGCAGCAGCAGGAAACAAGGUGCACCCUCGCCCUGUGCAGCAUGCAAGCUUCUCAGAAGAAGGUGUGCUCAGGAUUGUGUGUUCGCUCCCUAUUUUCCUGCGGAUGAGCCCCAAAAGUUUGCUAAUGUUCACAAAGUGUUUGGUGCCAGCAAUGUGAACAAGAUGUUGCAGGUAAUGAAGAUUUGUAUAAUUCGUUAGACAAACAGUGUAAAUUAAUAUAGUUUUAAAACUUUAGGGUGCAAUUCAAGAAAAUUAAAACCACAUGACCCAUUCAUUUUAAAAAUCACUUUAAACCUUGAAGGUAUAAAAUAUAAUUAGCCCUAAAUCGAAAUAGAAUCAAGAAAUAGAAAACAACAAGAAAAGUACAAAAUGAAAAGAAAAAACAAAUGUAAAAAUCACUAUAUAUCUUCUACCCUUUUUUACAUUUCAAUUCUUUUUUGUAGGACAUGAUGCUUCAUAGUCAUAGAUAGAGGCAGGCAACCAAUAAAGUGUCAUAACUUGAUUUGGGACCAUAUAUUUUGUUCAGCCAAAUGAAUAAGCAUGGCUGGUGACGCAUAUUUGUUCUACAAAGAUCAUAGAGUGGUAGUGAUCAUUACAUCAAGCCAAAACAUGUCUUGUAGGACCUUUGGCCUCUCAUUCGGGACUAGGGUUACUAGUUUAGAAGCCACUUUAGGAGACUAACUUACUCAGUUGUACAAUAUUUCAAGUCAAUCACUCACAGUGAUUAAUUUGAAAAAUUGUCAAUUAUGAUGUAAGUUUUCACCGUAACCACUGCCAACUUGCUUUUGUGGUCAAAAGUUAAAAGACCAUGUUUAAUUGUGACAAUUGCAGGAGCUGCCAGAGCACCAGAGAGGAGAUGCAGUUAGUAGCAUGGUGUAUGAAGCAAAUGCCAGGGUGCGAGACCCAGUUUAUGGGUGCGUUGGGGCAAUUUCGUCUUUACAACAACAAAUUGAUGUGCUUCAAACCCAACUGGCUGUGGCUCAGGCAGAGGUGGUGCACCUCAAAGUGCGUCAGACCGCAUCAUUCUCGAACCAUGGGUUAAGUCCGGCUAGCCCGAGUAAUAGUAGGUCACCCUCAUCUAAGUUCAUGGGCUCUCAGGCUCGACCCAUUUUCGACAUGGAUAUGAUGGUGGACCAUACCAGCUUGGGAAUGGGAGAGUCCAUGUGGUCAUGCUAAGCUUAAUUAAUUGAAAACAUUUUUGCUCACCACGAUAAACUAUGGUGUAUGCUCACCAUACAUCUAAUUAAUUGACACGUGUCAUUUCACUUAACUCUAGUUAACUUUCACAUUAAAUGUUAGUUUUUCAAUUUUGAAAAAAAUUAACCAAGAUUAAGUGAAAUGACACAUGUCAAUUAAUUAGGUGUAUGGUGAGCAUACGUCAUAGUUUAUGGUGGUGAGCAAAAAUGCUUCCUAAUUAAUUACUGAAGUCUACUCUACUAUAAUCUAGAGAGUAAUUAGCUUUGGUCAUCAUGCCUAAUAUUUGCUUUAGCACUUAUAAUAUAGUCCUUAAUGUACAUCGGGGGUAAACCUAAGGACGGUUACAACAGUUCAAGCGGUGACGGUGACAAUGACAGUGACCAAGGCGAUUCGCCCGCUUCAGUUUGAGAAGGGUUUUCCAUUAGUAACUGGAUUGUAAAUAUUAGUUUAACUUAUCGAUAUGUACAUUGGGUAAUCAUAUAGUCUUGUGGGACUUUUUAUAUUUGCUCCAAGCGACUUGAUGACUUUGGAUGUGUGAAUCCACUAAACAAAUUGGUAGUUUGGAAACAAAAUUGGGAAGAGGAUUGUAGUAGGAUUUGCAGAUUAUGGAGCAGUAAAUGUAUGAAAUAUUAUUAAAAAAAAAAGUUAUUUUCCUCUUAUUUUUGUGUAAAUAUUUGAUCAUUUGCUGCUUUUCUGUUUUGGAAACGACUCUUUUAUUUGCAUAUUACCACAACCGUUUGAUAUAUGAAGAAUUUUUUUUUAAUUUUUUUUUUUAUGGAUUUUUAACACAUAAUAUGCGUGAUAGACAGAUACCUAAAGAAUGAAAUUACUAUGUCAUAAGUCUUUUUUUCUUGAAGAGUUUUAUCAAAAGAGUUCUUCAAUUGACCGCAUGCAUAUAAGAUAUAACCAUAGCCGUUGAAUACAGGGAGGAUUAAUUAUGAAUUGUCUUUUUUUGUCGAAAUAAUUAUGAAUUGUCUACUCUACACACAAUAUGCUUGACUAACAAGUGUCACGAACUAACUGUGACAAUUACCUAAACAAAGAAAAUUACUAUGUUUAAAGUCUUUGGUUAAAGAUUUUGUACCAAAAAAGUUCUUGAAGAUUUCGUUCACCAAUCUUUGGUAGGUAACCUCCGCAUUCUUGAGGCCAAAUGACAUCACCUUGUUGCAGUAUGUUCAUCUCUCUGUCAUUUGCACAAUUGAUCUACAAAUUUUCAUGUAAGUCAUUCCUACUUACCUACAAAUUACAGUCUAACAUGUUUGCAAAGCAACUCACUAAAAUAACAAAAAGAACAGCUUAUACACACACGCCAAACUGCUAUUUGAUACGGUUCCCAAGUAUUUUCAAAUGACAAAUGAGUACCUUACUACCAUAUGACGGUAAUUAAACUAUGCUUAGGUAUAGCACAAAUAGAAAAAGAAAUGUUACGUGGGAUCAGUUUCAAACACAAGCAUUUGGUACAUAUAAUUUCAAGUAAUUUUACAAAUUAUACAAAGAAAUUAAAAACAAACAAGAAAAAGAAGCUCAAACGUCCUUGGCAAUAAGUUCACCAUUCACUAACUCUCUGUAAGCAGCCACAGGCCAGCUGAAGCCUCUGAAAACCAAGCUAGUAGCCAAGGGUACGUCAAUGAUGAUCUCCUUCUGCGUCGGCUUCUUGUCAUCCCUAAUGGCAAUCAAGUAGCUCCUCCCAACCCACCCGAUCCACCCAGCAAUGUACAGGAACAAAAUACCAGGCGUGAUAAACUCACCCCAGUGCCUCUGGUCACCGCUGACAAUCAAAUGGGGGAGCCC
rnacentral:lncRNA from 1 species